rnacentral:rRNA from 1 species
UACGUAGGGGGCUAGCGUUGUCCGGAAUUAUUGGGCGUAAAGGGCUCGUAGGCGGCCAACUAAGUCAGACGUGAAAUCCCUCAGCUUAACUGGGGAACUGCGUCUGAUACUGGAUGGCUUGGAUUUGGGAGAGGGAUGCGGAAUUCCAGGUGUAGCGGUGAAAUGCGUAGAUAUCUGGAGGAACACCGGUGGCGAAGGCGGCAUCCUGGACCGGUAUUGACGCUGAGGCGCGAAAGCCAGGGGAGCAAAGCGGG